GCUCUCGUAGCUCAGUUGGUUAGAGCACCCGUUUAGUAAGCGGGAGGUCUNAUUUCACAUUAGAGAUAUUGAAGGCU